rnacentral:rRNA from 1 species
GAUGAACGCUGGCGGCGUGCCUAAUACAUGCAAGUCGAGCGAACAGACGAGGAGCUUGCUCCUCUGACGUUAGCGGCGGACGGGUGAGUAACACGUGGAUAACCUACCUAUAAGACUGGGAUAACUUCGGGAAACCGGAGCUAAUACCGGAUAAUAUAUUGAACCGCAUGGUUCAAUAGUGAAAGACGGUUUUGCUGUCACUUAUAGCUGGAUCCGCGCCGCAUUAGCUAGUUGGUAAGGUAACGGCUCACCAAGGCAACGAUGCGUAGCCGACCUGAGAGGAUGAACAGCCACACUGGAACUGAGACACGGUGCAGACUCCUACGGGAGGGAGCAGUGGGGGAUAUUGGACAAUGGGCGCAAGCCUGAUCCAGCCAUACCGCGUGGGUGAAGAAGGCCUUCGGGUUGUAAAGCCCUUUUGUUGGGAAAGAAAAGAAGCAGGUUAAUACCCCGCUGUUCUGACGGUACCCAAAGAAUAAGCACCGGCUAACUUCGUG